ensembl:lncRNA
CACACACACACUAACACUCUAACACACACACACACACAAACACACACACACACACACACACACACACACCGCCCGGUUUAUUCCUCACAUAAUACUGCCGUCAUUUAAGCAAUAGUUAUCUGGGCUAACUUUUUAUUCAUUAUUAUUUAUAAGACAGCAUUUUCUGGCAUUCGUGUGAGCCCAGGUCACGUGCUCAUAUCCUCAGCUGGGCCACCGUGUUAAUGCCCCCCUACCCUGUUAAUACCCCCCCUCCCUUUUCUCUCCACCAUGAAUAAAAUCUGAGAACCGCCCCUGUAAGGGUUGAAAACUGGACCCAAUCUGGCAACGCGCACAGAAAGCUCUGCUCUCAGCAUCAGCGCAGCGGCAGCACCUGCCAUCGGACCACAAACCCCGGCACUUCAGCUCCAAAAAAGUUACCGAGGAAGGGUUUUAACCGCCAACACGGACUGUUACACGGCCAACGGAGGUGGAGAAACACCGGUGUGGACCCACAGCACCAAGGAAGUGACAAGAGACAAGAGAGAAACGCACGUUACACACACACCCGCAGGACAUUGCACUGGAAGCGAUCUAGCUACACAGAUCUUGGAAAGUUAAAGCUAUGGAAGGAAUAAGUGUGGCAGAAAUCAUUCACGCACUGACCGUGGUCUCUGAGGAUAACCGUCUCCUUCUGUAAGUGAAGUGACCAGAAGGUUGUGAGUUCAAAUCCCAGAACUGUCAGAAAGCCACUGUUGGGCCUCUGGCCAAGACCUUUAACCCCUCGGAUUGCUUCAAAGAGCAUGCCAGAAAGGAAACAUAAAUAGAGAUAAUGCAUGAGCAGAACGCUUGUAUGCACACACACAUGAUAGUCGUAUACUAUGCGUCAGAUUUGAAAAGGAAGCAGGGAUAUUACUUUUAUAAAAGCAGCACACACACAAGCAUAUAACUUACUACAUUUCCCAGGAGGUCGCGGUUUAAAAUGCAGUCCGCUUUGUUCCAUCGAGACCUUAAACGUGUCGUUUUGUUCAUUCGUUCACGAAGGAUUUUGCUAGCGGUGGUGGUUUUUUUGUUUGUUUGUUUGUUUUGUUUGGUUUUAGGGUUGUUUGGGGUUUUGUUUUUUUUCCGUGCAGGAAGUGACGUGACGCGGUGUCGAUGUCAUUUAUCCAGCUCAUAAAGCCCGUUGUGUAAUAUGGUUUCUGUGAUGUGUUUGCUAAACUGAUCAAGCAUCAUUUAAAUAGCGAACAUAAUCAGUGUCAUACAAUUUGGUCUCCAGAAGCGAGACCAAGUUCUUCUAGUACGUUCAUGCAGACGAAUAUUAAAGAAUAUAUAUGUAUAAGACUAAGGAGCUGCAAUUAUUCUUUUUUUGACUGACGUAUAUGUAGAGGAAUCUUUUACAUACGGCACCAG